CAGAAGUCCAGAAGACCAGCCAGCCUCUACCACUUCGUUGUCUAAGAAUCACAGGCCUUUCUGGGAAUCGUUCCACUGUCCACCAAGACAUUCACAACUUAAGGUCAAGUCUCCUCCAUGCCUCCUAAAAGAAUGGAGAAAGAAGUGAGCAAGCCCCUGGGACUGCCUACUCUAAGGCUGUGCUUCCUGUUGAAGAGGUUUUGUUUUUUCUUAAGGAAAUACAACCAUUUCCAAAGAAAGCC
rnacentral:lncRNA from 1 species